rnacentral:rRNA from 1 species
GACGAACCGUGCGAACGUUGUUCGGAAUCACUGGGCGUAAAGCGCACGUAGGCGGGUCUUUAAGUCAGGGGUGAAAUCCUGGAGCUCAACUCCAGAACUGCCUUUGAUACUGAGGAUCUCGAGUCCGGGAGAGGUGAGUGGAACUCCGAGUGUAGAGGUGAAAUUCGUAGAUAUUCGGAAGAACACCAGUGGCGAAGGCGGCUCACUGGCCCGGUACUGACGCUGAGGUGCGAAAGCGUGGGGAGCAAACAGG